AUGAAUUUUGCGGGCGGUCACACACUUCGAACGUUUAGUCCGGGCCUUUGAAUAUUCCUAGAGUCUAUAAUCACGCCGGGAUCUCUUCUAAUGGAACUCAUUUGCUCUAUGGCUUCACUACCCUCACAUCAUUCCUUUUUUUAGUUUGCGGAACUUCUGGAAACUGAAAACUACCACCGUAAGAUAGAUGGGACUAGUAAAAACAGCAAAGCUCAGCUAUACAAGGAGGAAGGAAACCAGCGCUACCGGGAAGGGAAGUACCGAGAUGCUGUGAGUAGGUACCAUCGAGCUCUUCUUCAGCUGCGGGGUCUGGACCCAAGUCUGCCUUCCCCUAUACCCAAUCUGGGACCUCAGGGCCCAGCGCUUACACCGGAGCAGGAGAACAUACUGCACACCAUCCAGACCGACUGCUACAACAACCUAGCUGCCUGUCUCCUCCAGAUGGAGCCAGUGAAGUACGAACGAGUGAGGGAAUACAGUCAGAAAGUCUUAGAGCGACAACCCGAGAAUGC
rnacentral:lncRNA from 1 species